GGGUUGUGAGGUUAAGCGACUAAGCGUACACGGUGGAUGCCCUGGCAGUCAGAGGCGAUGAAGGACGUGCUAAUCUGCGAUAAGCGUCGGUAAGGUGAUAUGAACCGUUAUAACCGGCGAUUUCCGAAUGGGGAAACCCAGUGUGUUUCGACACACUAUCAUUAACUGAAUCCAUAGGUUAAUGAGGCGAACCGGGGGAACUGAAACAUCUAAGUACCCCGAGGAAAAGAAAUCAACCGAGAUUCCCCCAGUAGCGGCGAGCGAACGGGGAGCAGCCCAGAGCCUGAAUCAGUAUGUGUGUUAGUGGAAGCGUCUGGAAAGGCGCGCGAUACAGGGUGACAGCCCCGUACACAAAAAUGCACAUGCUGUGAGCUCGAUGAGUAGGGCGGGACACGUGGUAUCCUGUCUGAAUAUGGGGGGACCAUCCUCCAAGGCUAAAUACUCCUGACUGACCGAUAGUGAACCAGUACCGUGAGGGAAAGGCGAAAAGAACCCCGGCGAGGGGAGUGAAAAAGAACCUGAAACCGUGUACGUACAAGCAGUGGGAGCACGCUUAGGCGUGUGACUGCGUACCUUUUGUAUAAUGGGUCAGCGACUUAUAUUCUGUAGCAAGGUUAACCGAAUAGGGGAGCCGAAGGGAAACCGAGUCUUAACUGGGCGUUAAGUUGCAGGGUAUAGACCCGAAACCCGGUGAUCUAGCCAUGGGCAGGUUGAAGGUUGGGUAACACUAACUGGAGGACCGAACCGACUAAUGUUGAAAAAUUAGCGGAUGACUUGUGGCUGGGGGUGAAAGGCCAAUCAAACCGGGAGAUAGCUGGUUCUCCCCGAAAGCUAUUUAGGUAGCGCCUCGUGAAUUCAUCUCCGGGGGUAGAGCACUGUUUCGGCAAGGGGGUCAUCCCGACUUACCAACCCGAUGCAAACUGCGAAUACCGGAGAAUGUUAUCACGGGAGACACACGGCGGGUGCUAACGUCCGUCGUGAAGAGGGAAACAACCCAGACCGCCAGCUAAGGUCCCAAAGUCAUGGUUAAGUGGGAAACGAUGUGGGAAGGCCCAGACAGCCAGGAUGUUGGCUUAGAAGCAGCCAUCAUUUAAAGAAAGCGUAAUAGCUCACUGGUCGAGUCGGCCUGCGCGGAAGAUGUAACGGGGCUAAACCAUGCACCGAAGCUGCGGCA
rnacentral:rRNA from 1 species